AAGUGAACCUCUUUUCAUGUGCAUGGUC
rnacentral:piRNA from 1 species